rnacentral:lncRNA from 1 species
AGAUUGCCUGCAGCAUCUUCCAAACACAGGGCUGGAGAUACCAGUCACAAAUUCAAAUAAGAUAACACAGUGCCUGGGCCAUCGUCUGCUGGACAACAUGGACAGCAUUUUGGAGAAGAACUCUCUUGUCAAGCAACAGGCCCCAUCAGACAAAGAGGGCUCCAAA